GGCCUACCAUGGUGGUAACGGGUAACGGGGUGUUAGGGCACGACACCGGAGAGGGAGCCUGAGAAACGGCUACCACAUCCAAGGAUGGCAGCAGGCGCGCAAAUUACCCAAUCCCGACACGGGGAGGUAGUGACAAUAAAUAACAAUACGGGGUUCUUUCGGAUCUCGUAAUUGGAAUGAGUACAAUUUAAAUCUCUUAACGAGGAACAAUUGGAGGGCAAGUCUGGUGCCAGCAGCCGCGGUAAUUCCAGCUCCAAUAGCGUAUAUUAAAGUUGUUGCAGUUAAAAAGCUCGUAGUUGAAUUUCGGGGUUAGUAGGUUGGUCAUGCCUCUGGUAUGUACUGGUUUCACUGAUUCCUCCUUCCUGAUGAACCGUAAUGCCAUUAAUUUGGUGUUGCGGGGAAUUUGGACUGUUACUUUGAAAAAAUUAGAGUGUUUAAAGCAAGCUAACGCUUGAAUACAUUAGCAUGGAAUAAUGAAAUAGGACGUUCGAUCCUAUUUUGUUGGUUUCUAGGAUCGACGUAAUGAUUAAUAGGGAUAGUUGGGGGCAUUAGUAUUCAAUUGUCAGAGGUGAAAUUCUUGGAUUUAUUGAAGACUAACUACUGCGAAAGCAUUUGCCAAGGAUGUUUUCAUUAAUCAAGAACGAAAGUUAGGGGAUCGAAGACGAUCAGAUACCGUCGUAGUCUUAACCAUAAACUAUGCCGACUAGGGAUCGGAUGAUGUUAAUUUUUUAAUGACUCAUUCGGCGCCUUACG
rnacentral:rRNA from 1 species